CUACGAUAUACUAAGAACUUUUGACAUAUUGAAUGAGUUAGCCUGAAUAAAUUAUUUGUAAGUUUAUAUACUGUAAUGUUUUUUUUUAUAUUUUAUUUUUUGUAACUAAUGUAUAUGUAGGUAUUCAAUGUACCAAUAUUGGUAUUUGUUUGAAUAAAGUUUCUUCUUCUCAAGAGAAGCUCAGAUUCAACCUCUACUCAUUGAGUGUGAGUGAGCUUUUAGAAUACGGGCAGUUAGUCUCUUUCUGAAGCAUACGUUAGCUUCCCAUUGUGUAUUGGCCUAUCACCUAAAUUGCGUAAUUUCCUAAAAAGUCGUGUGAAAACUCACAUUCUACACCAAAAUAGACCUUAUUCGUCCUUUAAAGCUUACAGAUGUCGCGUUCCUAUAUUGGUCCUAGACUGUACACCCGGAAGGCCUAUAACAUAUAAUUUUCCACACAAAAAAACUCACGCUGUUUUAAUUGCAAUGAUCUUACAACAUACUGAGUUGUGUAACAGUUGUGUUUUGGCAAUUUGGCAUCUGAUAUUUGUAAGUCUAGCCUUGCUACGCGUCUGGUCAUGGCUUGAGAAAUAUAUAUAGACAUUUGAAUUUGUUUUGAAAUAUUAUCAGCAACAACCCCCUUGACCUUUAUGACAUUUCAGUUGUAUUUCCUAUAUGUUACAACAUCCGAUUAAAUUUCUGCAGUGUUAUAAAGCCUGGUUUUAAUACACUUAAAAUCAAAUUAGUUCCUGUGAUCACAGUAGAAAGUUUACAUAUACGUGAAUUUUCUAAGUUUUGAAGGUUUUGUAAGAACUGACUCACUGUUUAACAAAGAGGCAGUUCCCUCAAACAUUUCUAACAAAUCCUUCAAAACUUACAAUUUACCUAUGUAGAAUUCCUACUGUGAUCACAGAAACUUUGAUACGGGAAGAAUAUUAUAACUGCAUCUCUCAAGUUAGCCAAAACAAAUAUCUUGUGUCCGUUUUCAACUUCAAAACAGUCAUGUCAAGUCAUGCAUGCUUAAACUCACGUUGAAGUGACAUGCGAAACUGUCAGCUUCGUUUCCGCAUGUUCAAAGUCUGUUUGGUUUCACAGUCCACAAUUGCAAAGAAAAUGGAACUAAUUAUUAUAUGUAUACCAGCCAAAUGAAACACGCUGUAUAUUUACGUCGCUAUUUAAGUUUUUUGUCUGGGGUUGAAAUUUUUAAUCUGGCGAGCAGAUAUUUGCCAAAGGUUAGGGGCGGACCAUUAGAAAAGUGAUGGGGGGGGGGGCUAAGAGGCAAUAUUUUUUUUUGUUCACCUAUAGAAGAAAUAUAUUUUUUUCUCAAUUGAUUGCUGGAAAUAUUUUUUUAAGUGAACUUUAUAGGCCUAUCUUCCAAGCAAGGAUUUUUUUUUGCACUAUGCCUGGAGAGAGUUUUUUUCUCUAAUUUUUUUCUGGAAAUAAUUUUCUUUUUUGGUUUUGCCCCCAUCACUUUUCUAAUGGCCCGUCCCUUAUAUAGGCCGGAAGAAGUUAUUUCGCUGUCCUCAGAAUGACAUUUCUUCAAAACGUUUUCUUCAAGAUUGGUUUAGAAACAAACUUGGAGUAGGGUUAGGGUUUAGAGUUGAUGUUUGGAAUGGGGUUAGUGUUAGUAAAACCGUUGCUGUGUUAGGUUUUGUCACUCUGAGGCCAGCGAAAUAAUCUCUUCCGUGUAGGCCACGUGGCGAUUGAGAGAAAAAUUGAAAAGAUAAAGUAUUAAAUUCUAAAGAUUCCAGUCUCACAAGUUUUCAUUCUACCUUUGCAUGUCGUUUUCCAUGCAACAUAUUAAAAAACCUUUUUUUAUGGUAUAAAUCUAUACAACUAAACAGAAUACUUCAUACUACAUUGACCGAUAGGGCAACCUUUUAUUAAAUUUGGCGACGAGAUCUAUUAAACUAAUUGGUAGCUAUAAUUAACUGAACGACUACAAGUAUAAGGUUUUUAAAAUUCCAACCCCUAUACGUCUAAUCUACAUGGAAACAUAAAUAACGAUGGUGAUUGAAUUGUUCUAGCCUCUGCUGCAGUCGCUAGGUAGUAACAUCAAGUCACGUUUUUACCAUCCAAUAUUAAUUUGUGUUUAAUUAUGUUUGUAGAAGCAUGCAGCAUUCGUUUAAUUUGCAAAAUCAACACAACUUCAUGCCAAGCUUUGCAAACUCAGACAGCCAAAGCAAAACAUUUAAAAAAAUUUAUGACCUGUUACCAAGUAUAUUUUUUCAGAGGUUGGGUUCUCUCUUGGUAUAUAGAAAUUAUUUUCAUUCUAUCUUUUCAGAAUCUGGUUAUUUUUAACUUUGUAUAUCCACGCUUGAAAAUUGUUUUGCAUUUCUUUAUUACUUUAAUUCCACAAGCAUAAAUAUGACGCUUACCUGAGCAUCAAUAUACUCGUAUAUAGUGAGUUAUGAAUGCAGUGUAUACUAAAAUCGCAGUGCCCCUUUGCCAUAUGUUGGAAUAUUUCAUGAACUAGAUUUAUCGUUGGGAUCAUGUAGUUACUGUGCAUAUCUAUAAAGUAUCUCCUGCAUUUUACUCUUCUAUGUAUAAUUCAAUUAGUUUUGAACCACCUGUUUUGGAAGCCAAGGUUACAACGUUUCAGACUCGUAUAGUCGCUAUAACUCCGUUUAUAUUUUGCUUUAUACCUGUAAAAGUAUUGUUUAUUUGUUUUUGGAUUAAUUAUUAGUUCUGGUUGUUUCUGCAUAGUUGUUUCAUGCACAGCCUCUUGUUGUCUUUUACUGCAUCAAUGUACAAAACACUCAUUCAUUGAUGGAUAUAGAGCCUAUGACUAUAUAUGUACAGUACGUCAAACAUAGAUAAAACUACAUUGCUUGAUCAAAAUCAGUUGCAUACUUAGUAAAAGUACUUUGAAUCCUCGAUAAUGGUUGAAGAUGCUGCACAUAGUUAGCAAGACACAAACAAAACAAUUAACCGCAGUCAUUCGACUAAUUGAUAAAAUAUAAAACUUUAAUUGUUUAAAAGUACUGGAAAAACACCAUCUGUUUGCUCUGACUACAGAUUUAUAAGAAGAGAUAUCAAAUUAACUGGAUCAUGUCAAUUUUAUUGCCGAUAGAUUAUGAGACUGUUGACGAUACUAUACCAAUUUAACGCCGCAAUGCCAAUGGUGUUCAAGGCUGCAGUGAAAAUGAUCUGCCUAUAUUUAAUUUCGAAAUAAAACUAAAUUUUUUUAUUCGUUUUGAAACUUGUAAAGCCUGUAUGAAGAAUAUAUUCUUGAUUAUAUAAAGCUCCAUAUACCUUCGACGAAAUCUCCUAUGAAAAUCCGUUAUGUUUGUCGCAAUUAAUUAAGCCUUUCAUCUUUGCCGCCAAGCGUAACUAAUCCAAUAUCGUAUACUUUGCAUAAAACGAGGGAAAUCAUUUUAAUUGUGAAAAAGUCUUUUUCAAAACAGUGGGGAUGAUUUACUGGCGAUUAUUACUGGCAGACAAAAGUCCUCUCCUAUAAUAUAUUAAUCAUUUAAAGCCUGUCAUUGUUAGGGUUAUACCACAGACACAUAAUUGAUUGCGCGGCGUGCUAAAAAACAUCUUCUAAACGGAAAGGUUUUUAACGGUAAGAAAUUGGCAUCAUUGUCUGGUGAUUAAGAGCAAACAAAGUACAGUUUUACCAGCAGAUGUGGUCAGCUUACAGUUUUUAGGGAGAGAAAAUAAUGUUCCUGUAGUAAACUUGUACUUGCAACCAACAUCAACAACUGAGAAAGCGUCGUAUAAAGCGUAAUACUGUGCGCAGAGCAAUUGUCUUUU